GGGGAAUAUUGGACAAUGGGGGCAACCCUGAUCCAGCAAUGCCGCGUGUGUGAAGAAGGUCUUCGGAUUGUAAAGCACUUUCGGCGGGGACGAUGAUGACGGUACCCGCAGAAGAAGCCCCGGCUAACUUCGUGCCAGCAGCCGCGGUAAUACGAAGGGGGCUAGCGUUGCUCGGAAUGACUGGGCGUAAAGGGCGCGUAGGCGGCUUGGUCAGUCAGAUGUGAAAUUCCUGGGCUCAACCUGGGGACUGCAUUUGAGACGGCCAGGCUUGAGUUCGAAAGAGGGUCGCGGAAUUCCCAGUGUAGAGGUGAAAUUCGUAGAUAUUGGGAAGAACACCGGUGGCGAAGGCGGCGACCUGGUUCGGUACUGACGCUGAGGCGCGAAAGCGUGGGGAGCAAA
rnacentral:rRNA from 1 species